CCUGCGGAAGGAUCAUUGUUGAGAUAUCAAAACAUAAUCAUUUGUUUGCUAUUUAGGCGAUUGGAUUGCAUUACGGAAGAUGCUCUCCUUGAUGCCUCAGCUUAUGUUAACCAAAUAUGAGCCUUUUAAAAUUUCUGUACCUUACAUUUCUUUUAGAUUUCUCGUAUGGAAGGAAUAAAAGGCUUAGUGCUAUUGUUACCAAGUAUGGUAUGGGAAAUUUCGGGCAUCGUCCCAUUUUAGGAUUAGGAGGCCCGAACAAUAAAUCAUAUGACUCUCGACAAUGGAUAUCUUGGCUCUCUCUUCGAUGAAGAACGUAGCAAAAUAUGAUACUUAAUGUGAAUUGCAGAAUCUCGUGAAUCAUUGAGUCUUUGAAUGUAAGUUGUGCCCGACACUUUUUAGUUAAGGGCAUGUCUGCUUGGGUAUCAUGCUUCUAUUUUUUUCACACAAAAAUUUCUGUCUGGAGAAAUUCUUGGCCUUCCAUACAAGCACGGAUGUGGUUGGUCGAAGCGUAAUCGAAUGGUUUCUAACGUAUGGCAUAAUAUGUUUUGGUGGAUUUCAUAGCCCUAAAUAUGUUUCAUGAAUUGCUUCAUGUGUGCCAUAAAAAAUCCUAUUUGAUUGAUAUUUAUAACAAAGGAAGCCGUCGGCUUUUUGUGAUCCCAGGUUUGGCAUGGACACUCGCUGAGCUUAAGCAUAUCA
rnacentral:rRNA from 1 species